rnacentral:rRNA from 1 species
UAGGGAAUCUUCCGCAAUGGGCGAAAGCCUGACGGAGCAACGCCGCGUGAGUGAUGAAGGUCUUCGGAUCGUAAAACUCUGUUAUUAGGGAAGAACAAAUGUGUAAGUAACUAUGCACGUCUUGACGGUACCUAAUCAGAAAGCCACGGCUAACUACGUGCCAGCAGCCGCGGUAAUACGUAGGUGGCGAGCGUUAUCCGGAAUUAUUGGGCGUAAAGCGCGCGUAGGCGGUUUUUUAAGUCAGAUGUGAAAGCCCACGGCUCAACCGUGGAGGGUCAUUGGAAACUGGAAAACUUGAGUGCAGAAGAGGAAAGUGGAAUUCCAUGUGUAGCGGUGAAAUGCGCAGAGAUAUGGAGGAACACCAGUGGCGAAGGCGACUUUCUGGUCUGUAACUGACGCUGAUGUGCGAAAGCGUGGGGAUCAAACAGG